UUCUUUUCUUUUUCUUUCUUCUUCUUUUCUUUUCUCUUUUCUUUCUUUCUUUUUUCUUCUUUCUCUCUCUCUGUCUCUCUGUCUCUCUCUCUCUCUCUAUAUAUAUAUGGUGUGUCACUCUGUCGCCUAGGCUGGAGUGCAGUCGCGCAAUCUCGACUCACUGCAAAUGCUGCCUCCCGGGUUCAAGGCCAAGGGGGAGCAGGGCUGUGGAGAGCAUGACCCCCUUGUUAAAUCACGUCUGCCUUUAUGCCUCGAUACACCACACAGAGAGAUGACAGGAGAUACCACCAAGAUGAGAUGCCAACCCGGGAGAGGCUCUGCAGGUCCCCUUGUGCCCACGUCUACCUGGCUUGUCCCCACAGGUGGGUUUUCUGAGACAAGGGGGAUUUUGGACACAGGUCUGUCCCCAGAGCCAGCCAGCAGCUCCAGAGAAGAGACAGCAGGUGCCCAGGACGAUGCGGCUUAGUUGCCAGGUUGCCACGAAACAUCCAAUAUUUGAAAGUGUUCUAUGGACCUCAAAGGGCAAGAGACACCUUAAAAUGUUUGCUGGAUGGCGAGGCUCUGCUGCUCAUGUUCAUGGAGUCCCACGGCCACCAGGCCCUUUGAAUCUCGAGUUUCUGGCUUCAGAUGCCCCCAGGUUUCCAGAAGUCAAGAUUUCUAACAAAUGGACCCAAACCCCAAGCCAGCACCUGGAAGUGGCAGCAACACGGCUGUGUGGACCCCGGUGCUGGGAACCUUCUGGAGGCAGCUGGACACAGGGGCUGCCGGUGCGGAGAGGGACACUGCUCAUUUUGACAUUUCAUCUGAAUAACGUUCCAAGUGUUCUAAUGAAAGCCUCUGUGCUCCCUUUGAAAUACUAGCAAUUACAAAGAUGAAUAAUUGCAUGAUAAAUAUUAAUUUGCACCAUC